ACGACCGGAUCGAACCCGUUGUGAAUCGAACUUGGUUCGAGUUCGAGCAGCGGGUCGAUCCGAGCCA
rfam:Drosophila pseudoobscura pseudoobscura strain MV2-25 unplaced genomic scaffold Tnknown_singleton_1205, whole genome shotgun sequence.